rnacentral:rRNA from 1 species
UUGGAAGCAGCCAUUCAUUUAAAGAGUGCGUAACAGCUCACUAGUCGAGGAGUUUUGCAUGGAUAAUAAUCGGGCAUAAGCCCUUUACCGAAGCUGUGGAUGUCGUAAGACAUGGUAGGGGAGCAUUCCGGCGGCGACGAAGGCCGUCCUCGAGGACGACUGGAGCUUUCGGAAAAGCAAAUGUAGGUAUAAGUAACGAUAAAGGGGGCGCGAAACCCCCUCGCCAUAAGACUAAGGAUUCCUGAUCAACGCUAAUCGGAUCAGGGUAAGUCGGGCCCUAAGGCGCAGCCGAACGGCGUAGCCGAUGGAAGAAACGGUAAAGAUUCCGUUACUGGAUAUAGGAGCGAUGUGGAGACGGAGAAGUGACACACCCGCCUGCCGACGGAAGCGCAGGUUAAAGGAAGUAGGUAGACGCCGGGUAGGCAAAUCCGCCUGGCGUGCCGAAGCUGACAGUAUCGAGAGCCCCCGGGCAAUCGAAUAGCGGUGGUAAUCAGGCUCCCAAGAAAAUCCGCUAAGCAUAUUCUAUAUUCACCCGUACCCCAAACGGACACACGUAGUCGGGUAGAAUAUACCAAGGCGCUCGAAAGACUCACGGUUAAGGAACUAGGCAAAUUGACCCUGUAACCUCGGGAAAAAGGGUCCCCAGUAAGAUGGGGCGCAGAGAAUAGGUCCAGGCAACUGUUUAACAAAAACACAGGGCUGUGCAAAAUUGAAAGAUGAAGUAUACAGCCUGACACCUGCCCGGUGCUGGAAGGUUAAGAGGAGAUGUCAUCGCAAGAGAAGCAUUGAAUUGAAGCCCCAGUAAACGGCGGCCGUAACUAUAACGGUCCUAAGGUAGCGAAAUUCCUUGUCGGGUAAGUUCCGACCUGCACGAAUGGUGUAAUGAUCUGGACACUGUCUCAACCGUGAGCUCAGUGAAAUUGUAGUAUCGGUGAAGAUGCCGAUUACCCGCGAUGGGACGAAAAGACCCCGUGAACCUUUACUAUAGCUUAACAUUGAAUUUGGGUAAUUGAUGUGUAGGAUAGGCCGGAGGCUUUGAAGCAGGUACGCCAGUAUUUGUGGAGCCGCUGUUGAAAUACGGCCCUUUGGUUAUUUGAGUUCUAACUCGUUGAUACGAGGACACUGUUUGGUGGGUAGUUUGACUGGGGUGGUCGCCUCCAAAAAUGUAACGGAGGCUUCUAAAGGUGCCCUCACGCCGAUUGGUAACCGGCGGCAGAGUGUAAUGGCAUAAGGGCGCUUGACUGGGAGACUUACAAGUCGAUCAGGUAGGAAACUAGAGCAUAGUGAUCCGGUGUUUCUGUAUGGAAAGGACAUCGCUCAAAGGAUAAAAGGUACUCCGGGGAUAACAGGCUGAUCCCUCCCA